rnacentral:misc_RNA from 1 species
GUAGGUGAACCUGCGGAAGGAUCAUUAAAAAGUUGGCUGGGGUUCUGCCCCGCACGCCUCCAUCCUUUGAGUACUUACCCAGUUGCUUUGGCGGGCCGGGACGCUUGCGCCCCGGGCGGCUUCGGCUGCCCAGCGCCCGUCAGAGGUCAAUCAAACCCUUGCUUAACGGUGAAGUCUGAUAACUAUUAUAAAUAGCUAAAACUUUCAACGACGGACCUCUUGGUUCUC